UACGUAGGGUGCGAGCGUUAAUCGGAAUUACUGGGCGUAAAGAGUGUGUAGGCGGUUUUCUAAGUUUGGUGUGAAAUCUCCCGGCUUAACUGGGAGGGUGCGCCGAAAACUGGAAGGCUUGAGUGCCGGAGAGGAUAGCGGAAUUCCCGGUGUAGCGGUGAAAUGCGUAGAUAUCAGGAGGAACACCGAUGGCGAAGGCAGGUCUCUGGGCUGACACUGACGCUCAUGCACGAAAGCGUGGGGAGCAAACAGG
rnacentral:rRNA from 1 species